CGGAUGUUUAAAUAAAUUUUGUUCAAAUUUUUCGUUCUAGUUGAAACGCGAAACACGUUUAUUCCUAGAGUCCACUAAUAAAUCUAAUAAUAUAGGUUAGGUUGUAUUUAGAAAAAGUAGGCAAAUAGGCAAAUGUGAUUGAACUAAUUAACGACAUAAAAUAUGAGAUUUAGCUAAUUAACACAAAAUUGUAAUACUCCAUGCUCAAGUUAAAUUUCAAGAAAUCCCUACAAAAGAAAAAGAAAACACACGGUCACAAAUCACACACACAAAUGCAAGUAAAUUAUUCAUUUCUUUGCAAUACCUUCUUAAGCGAUUCAGACUGACUCGUUUCGUUGGUUGAAAAGUGAAAUACCGUCUUACCAAUUGAACUGCAUUUCGUCGUCAAACUUAUGUAUAAUCUGUUGUAACGGAAGAAAAGAAUAUAUAGAGCCGAAACACUUACCUCUUUAUGGAAUAACAUUCAACGAUGGAACCGCAAUAACCAAAAAAAUGGAUCAUAGAGUUAAUUUGCAUUUCUGUUUAUUUUCGAUUGUUGCUAUUUUUGAUGAGAUUGGAAGUGUGAAUUGAAGUAUAAGUUUUUAUGUGAAGGUAUAUUGGGGGAGUGGUGCAGAGAAGCAGAUGGCAUAAAUUAAUAUUUGGCGUUGCAUU
rnacentral:lncRNA from 1 species